rnacentral:lncRNA from 1 species
AGGCAAGGAGCAUAUGGCGAAGGUGAUGGUCAUAAUGGCCAGGAGAAUGAGGUGGUCCGUCUCCUCUGCCAUCGAAGUCCUCUCUCCUCUCCUGCGAGAUCCAGGGCCUCUUAGGCUACUGCCAGACAAUCCGCAGCGGCUUCUUCUGCUCCGACGGUGCAUGCGAAUGAGGUUGAGGAUAACGCUGAUGUUGCAGGCGAGCACAGCCACGAUAAGCAGCAGGAGCAUCGUGGCGUACAGCUGAAGGUAAUGAAGCUACUGUUGCUUGUCCAGGCCACACUUUCAGAAGUGUUGAUCUAGCAUGCCUGCCUGAGUUUACUGGAACACAGAAACUCAGAGACAGAAAGUGGUCAACUGCCAUGGAA